GAUGAACGCUAGCGGCAGGCCUAAUACAUGCAAGUCGAACGGUGUCUUCGGACAUAGUGGCGCACGGGUGCGUAACACGUAUGCAACCUACCUUACAUUGGGGGAUAGCCUUUCGAAAGGGAGAUUAAUACCGCAUAAGACAGUAGCUGGGCAUCCAGCAGCUGUUAAAGAUUUAUCGAUGUAAGCUGGGCAUGCGUCCAAUUAGCUAGUUGGUGAGGUAACGGCUCACCAAGGCAAUGAUUGGUAGGGGAACUGAGAGGUCAAUCCCCCACACUGGAACUGAGAUACGGGCCAGACUCCUACGGGAGGCAGCAGUAGGGAAUAUUGGGCAAUGGACGCAAGUCUGACCCAGCCAUGCCGCGUGCAGGAUGAAGGCGUUAUGCGUUGUAAACUGCUUUUAUACAGGAAGAAACGACUCUUGCGAGGGGCAUUGACGGUACUGUAUGAAUAAGCACCGGCUAACUCCGUGCCAGCCGCCGCGGUAACAC
rnacentral:rRNA from 1 species